rnacentral:piRNA from 1 species
UGAAAAUUUGAAAGAUGAGGAGGG